rnacentral:ncRNA from 1 species
CAGAGUAGAUACCUGUGCGUUAAGUGCCUGCCGGACGGGGAGUUGCCGGUGGGACGAAAAGGGUCAAACCCUUGCGGUGCAGGUGUCGCAUCCCGCU